rnacentral:pre_miRNA from 1 species
GACUCCUGUUCUGUGUAUGGCACUGGUAGAAUUCACUGUGAACAGUCUCAGUCAGUGAAUUACCGAAGGGCCAUAAACAGAGCAGAGAC